rnacentral:pre_miRNA from 1 species
CAUGUCCCUGAGACCCUAGAGUUGUCCGGAAUUUGCGAAUCCACAUUUCUCGCGUGGCAACUCUAAUGUCCCGGGUUAUGAG